rnacentral:lncRNA from 1 species
AUGGGUGCUCUUGCUAGGGAGAAGGUGCACACACACACACAGACACACACACACACUCAUACACACAGGCACACUCACACACUCACGCAAGACACACUCAUACANNNNNNNNNNCACACACACACACAACACACAUACACACACGCUCACACACAACACACACACUCAUACACACACAGACAUGCUCACACACUCACCCAAGACCCACACUCAUAUGCACACAGACACGCUCACACACAACACACACUCUCACACUCAUACACACUCACACAGACGCUCAGACACAGCACACACACACUUAUACACACUCACACAGACACACGCACAACACACACACACANNNNNNNNNNACACACACACACACUCAUACACACACAGGCACAUUCACACACACACAAGACACUCAUACGCACACGGACACACUCAACACAUGCACACUCAUACACUCACACACAGACAUGCUCGCACACAUUCGUACACACAGACAUGCUCACAUACAUACACACUCACCCUCACCCUCAUACACUCAUACACACAGUUCACACACACGCUCACAGACACACACUCACACAUAUGCUCACACACUCAUACACAUGCUCACACACACACUCAUACACACACGCUUACACACAGUCUCACACACACGCUGACACACAGCCACACAGCCACUGUGCAAACAUACACAAUGUCAUAUAUUUCUUCAAGCCCCACUAUAGCCCUGAUUUAUCCACACCCUGCAUUUCAAACCAGCACACUGAGGACCAGAGCGGGGGUCCUCAGUGUGACUUGCCCAAGGUCACACUAGAAGUGAGUGUCGGCAUUGGGACCACAUCCCAGGAGUCCCGGGUCCAGAUAAGUGAGGGUUUCAUUCCCAGAUGCAACUACUGCUUUCCCCAGAGGCUGCCUGUAAGGCCUUUCAUUUAUUCAACACUGAUUCAAGCAUUUUUGAGCAUCAGCUACAGGGCAGGCAUGGAGCUUGGCGCUGGGGAUAGGGCAGAAAGCAGACAGCCCGGGUCCUUGCCCUCAGGGGGUUGUCAAUCCAGUGGGAGAGACGGAACAGACUGCAAACAAGUCGUUGCACAGAGAAAUGCAUGA